UGAGAACUGAAUUCCAUGGGC
rnacentral:miRNA from 1 species